rnacentral:rRNA from 1 species
CAGUCGCCGCGGUAAUACGUAGGGUGCAAGCGUUAAUCGGAAUUACUGGGCGUAAAGCGUGCGCAGGCGGUUUUGUAAGACAGAGGUGAAAUCCCCGGGCUCAACCUGGGAACUGCCUUUGUGACUGCAAGGCUAGAGUACGGCAGAGGGGGAUGGAAUUCCGCGUGUAGCAGUGAAAUGCGUAGAUAUGCGGAGGAACACCGAUGGCGAAGGCAAUCCCCUGGGCCUGUACUGACGCUCAUGCACGAAAGCGUGGGGAGCAAACAGGAUUAGAUACCCGUGUAGUCCCUGUCUCUUAUAU